UUUAUUUUUCUUUCUCUAUUCUACUUUCGUACACAAUUUUGCAAAACCCUAAAAUUCCAAACACCAAAAGUGCGACUGCAUUGUUCUUAACCCUAAAAUUCUAAAAAUAAAAACGACAGCUUCAUCAUCUUUCUCUUCUCAUUUUUGCCCUUAUAUUCCUCUCAUUUCAUUUGCCCAACUCUUCAAUGUCAGGUUCUGAUGACGAUUCAUCC
rnacentral:lncRNA from 1 species